CGUCCAUCCAUCUGUCAAAAAGGCAAGGCCAGAGCUUCUCUUCCGCCUCUUCCGGCAUCAGCAUCAGACAAGAGUCCAAAGUGCGGCUUGUGGCGGGAGAACCCCGCCAACGACUUCUGCUACCUGAUCAACGACAUGGCCACCAAGACCUGGAAGGAGGCGCGAGACGAGUGCGCCCGCCGCAGAGGCAACCUGCUCGCCAUCACCGACUUACAGGAACACAACUUCAUACACGGUAGGUCGUCCUCAGUCUGCUUCGCUUUUUGGCGCAGCCGAAGUACUUAAUGAA